CCUACGGGAGGCAGCAGUGAGGAAUAUUGGUCAAUGGUCGGGAGACUGAACCAGCCAAGCCGCGUGAGGGAGGAAGGUACAGAGUAUCGUAAACCUCUUUUGUCAGGGAACAAAGGCGGGGCCGUGUCCCCGGAUGAGUGUACCUGAAGAAAAAGCAUCGGCUAACUCCGUCCCAGCAGCCGCGGUAAUACGGGGGAUGCGAGCGUUAUCCGGAUUUAUUGGGUUUAAGGGGUGCGACGGCGGUCUGUUAAUUCAGCGGUAAAAGCCGGGGGCUCAACCCCUGCCCGCCGUUGAAACUGGCGGUCUCGAGUUGGAGAGAAGUAUGCGGAAUGCGCGGUGUAGCGGUGAAAUGCAUAGAUAUCGCGCAGAACGCCGAUUGCGAAGGCAGCAUGCCGGCUCCACACUGACGCUGAGGCACGAAAGCGUGGGUAUCGAACAGGAUUAGAUACCCUAGUAGUC
rnacentral:rRNA from 1 species